GUAGGGGGCAAGCGUUGUCCGGAUUUAUUGGGCGUAAAGAGCGUGUAGGCGGCCAGGUAGGUCGGUUGUGAAAACUGGAGGCUCAACCUUCAGACGUCGACCGAAACCCCCUGGCUAGAGUCCGGAAGAGGAGAGUGGAAUUCCUGGUGUAGCGGUGAAAUGCGCAGAUAUCAGGAAGAACACCCGUGGCGAAGGCGGCUCUCUGGGACGGUACUGACGCUGAGACGCGAAAGCGUGGGGAGCGAACAGGAUUAGAUACCCUGGUAGUCCACGCCGUAAACGAUGAGUGCUAGGUGUGGGGGGUGUCGACUCCCUCCGUGCCGAAGCUAACGCAUUAAGCACUCCGCCUGGGGAGUACGGCCGCAAGGCUA
rnacentral:rRNA from 1 species